UCUCCGGUGCAAACUCCACACAGAAAGGUCCCAGCCGGUGGUUCUGGUUCUGAUCCCCCAGCUGGGAUUCGAACCUGGGCCUUUUUGCAUUGAGGCAAGAGCGCCAACCACUGCACCACCGUGCAGCCCUCAACAUGCUAAUGUCUUUGGCUAAUAUGCUAUCUACGGGAUUUUUUAGGCUACUUUAGAGUUUAGCUUCUACUUUAGCAACAUGCUAACAUGUUUGACUAAUUUAGUUUACUGAGGAUUUUUAGUCUAUUUUGGAGAUAAGCUAGUAUUUAAGGAACAAGCUAGCUUUUGGGGGCUAAAUUGGAGUUUAAUUUACAUUUAAGCAACAAACUAAAGCUUUUUGCAAAUUUGAAAUGAAUUUGGGUCUUUUAGCCUCAUUUAUUACAGAUCUUUCAGAAAUGUUGUUGAUCUUCAGCACUUUCAUAGUUCUGUAAUGACAUUUUCAGUCUUUUAGCAAAAGUAACAUUUUGUAAAUAGCUUUAGCAUUUUCAGUAAAUCCCUUCAACAAUUAAAGUAAAUUGUCACUAUUUUCAGCAAAAAGCUUCAGCAUCAUUAGUGACUAUUUUCAGCUGAAAACAUUCACAGCAGCAUUAUUGCAGGAAAUGGAACUUUUCUAGUUUGAUUUGAUCUUAACCCCAGAAACGAAUGAAGGACAGAAGCUUCACGAUUCAUUCAAAGUUGAAUAAACUAUCAUCUUAAUUGUCUUUAUUUGUAGUUAGUUUAAAUCUAACGAUGGUUAAGAUGUGUUUACAUCCAGUUUGUGCAUGACCCGAUUAAUCGACUGAUCUGAACAAUAAUCUGUGAUCAGUCGACUAUUAAAAUGAUGGUUGUAGCAGCUCUAAUGUGCAUGUUAUUUGUGUUUGUACAAAUGUUCUCGUCUACGUGCACGUGAGUGUCUGUGCACACAGGUGUGUGUGUGUGUAUGUACUUGAGUGUGCAUGUGAGUGUGCACGUUGCUGCUGAAACUAGAAAAGUGACCUUUGCGCUGGGCCCGCUCUACGUUCCUAUUUACUCAUAAAUACUCCAUGCUGGUGAAGUUCUCUGAACAUCCGACAAUAAUUAACUCCUGGGUGAUAAGAAACGACUGAAGAAGUUCUGGGAGCAGAAACCUCCGGAGGAACCAGGAGAUAAAGAAAACCAACAAAGGAGGAGAGUCGAUAGAACCAGAUAAAAAAGAGGAAGAGGAAACCGUGACGGCGCUCGCUGCACUUCUUCUUCUUCUGUCUGUGUUUUUGUCCCGCUGAAGCAGAUGGACUCGGACUCGGACACUCGGGCGCCGCGACACAUCGAGCUGAACGACGGCGCACGCAUGCCCGUGCUGGGCCUGGGGACGUGGAAGUCCUCUCAUCUGCCGCCCAGCUCCAUCCAGGGCGCCGUGGAGGCCGCCAUCGCUGCCGGCUACCGCCACAUCGACACGGCGUACAGCUACGGCAACGAGGUGGAGGUGGGCAGAGCUCUGCGCUCCAUGAUGCAGCAGGGCGUGGUUCGGCGCGAGGACAUGUUCAUCGUCAGCAAGCUGUGUGAAACCCAUCACGCGCCGGAGGACAUCCCUCGGUGUCUCAGCAAGUCUCUGAAGGAUCUGCAGCUGGACUACCUGGACCUUUACCUCAUCCAUUUCCCUGUUGGCUUGAAGAAAGUCGGCGAAGAACUUUUUCCAAUGAAGGACGGAAAGGUUUUGACGUCUGACAUCGACUAUGUUGAUGUGUGGAGGGGCCUGGAGGCUCUGCAGGCCUCCGGGAAGGUGAGGAGCAUCGGCGUGUCCAACUUCAGCAUCCUGCAGCUGCAGAGGCUGAUGGCUCUGUGCCGAGUCCCCCCGGCCGUCAACCAGGUUGAGCUGCACCCGUACCUGGUUCAGGCGGACAUGAUGGAGUUCUGUAGGUCGAGGAACAUCGCCCUGACCGCCUUCAGCCCGUUUGGUUCUCCAGCGAGGCCUCCAGAAGAGUUCGAAUGCGGGACCGACCCACACCAGCUCCUGGAGGACCCGGUCAUCGCUCGGGUCGCCGAGCGCCACAGACGCAGCGCCGCACAGGUGCGCCUGUAACCGCUGUGGUUCUCCAGGUGUUGUUGAGGUAUCACGUCCAGCAGGGAGUUGGUGUCAUCCCCAAGAGCGACAAACCUCAUCAUAUCAUCCAGAACACAAAGAUCUUUGACUUCAAUCUG